ACACCAACAGGAAACAUACGCACAGCCUGAAAUCUACUGUAGAUCUACACAGAAAGAAGGGCUGACAGGCCUGAGCCAAGAAAUAUCAAACCAUAAAGAGCACCACUGGGCAGUUCAACUCUUCAGUAGGAGUGGAGGUUGUGACCACUCCACAAAUUGCCAUUUAUGGCCUGAGCUGUACCCCUAGCAGACUACAGCUGGGAACCCCCUUAAGUGAUGGUGGCCAACUGGCAGAGACACUCUGGGGGGAAGGCGAGCUUGAGUCGGCCAGCAUCUACCCACAUCGCCCUGCAGGUGACCGGGAUGCCAAGGGUGCCCAGCUGGCAGCGACAGAACAGACAUUUCAGAGGAACGUUCCUCAUCCUGCCCAGAGCCGACAGAAACUGGGAAAAGACUCCUGCCAGUUCUAAUUAAAAAAAACAAACAUUUGUAUGCCAACUGAGAGAUCCACUAAUAACCUAGAACCCACUGUCAUAUAUGGGUUUGGCAAAGUCAACAAAUUUGUUGUACAACUGGUUGGGUAACUGGCAGAGGAGAGAAAAAAAAAGUCUUGACUAUGUCCCAAGCUAAAUACCUACCAUUUGCCUAUGCAAAAUUUUAAUUUAAGAGCCAUGACAAGACUUGAUCGUGCCUACACAGGCAAUUUCAGGCAGCCAGCGGUAGUAAAUCUUCAUCCAGCUGCACACUGAAGAGUUGCCAGACAGGUGGUACAGAUGCUCUGAAUUCAACCAAACUAACAAAAAGUGGCAAUACCAGCACAGAACUGUGAAGCAGCCUUGGAUAUUUUUUUUUUAUUUUGCCAGAAGUGAUUUACAAAAUAUUAGGGUUUUGGAAGCACAUGCCCUCCAAGAAAUGACUGGAAAUGUUGUUCAAACAUGUUGGAUGAGUGACUCAGCCAUGCCGGCUGUAUUCUUAAAGGCUCAGUGGUGCCAGCCUGCUGAGAGAGCAACAAAGAAACAUUUCCUUUCCUACAAAAAAAAAACAUGAUAAGAACAGCCCAUUUAAACGUCUUGAUACCAGCUUCCUUUACUUAAUAGAUUAAAAACUUUUUUAAAGAACAGCCAACUGUAUUAAAUUAUCUCUACCACCACAUACACAAAAUAAAACUUCCUUUCUGUUGAA